rnacentral:tRNA from 1 species
GCGGUUAUGGUGAAGUGGUUAACACAUUCGGCUGUGAACCGAAGACGCGCGAGUUCGAACCUCGUUAACCGCCCCA